rnacentral:lncRNA from 1 species
CCACUGGUCGUUUUCUCCUGAGGAAGUGGGCAUGCCAUCGUAACGAGUGUACUUUACUCACGACUUUAACUCAAUUUUAACUUGACUGUAAGCUAGAUUUUGCGAGUAUUGAACGGUUUUAAUAUAUUUGUUAAUGUUGUUUUAUAGGAUUGUUGAAAGAGACGAAAAAGUUCAUCAAAUAAAGUUAUUGGCAUGGAUCGAAAAAAAAUCGUGGAUAAAAGGACAAAAGAUGCAAAGUAAAAUGAAUGGACAAGCGGCUCACCGGCCCGAAAUAGUGGCGCCAAGGCGUCAUGAAAGGAAGAUAGUUAGAGUUGAGAGACCAAGGAAAACCAGAGAGGGGGCGCAUUUUUGGCUCAUUUGAAAUUCAUGAAAAAAACCCUAUUCUCUAGACCAUACAAGAAUGCACCUAUAAAUAUAAUUUUCUCACACUUUUGGGGGAUUUCACAGAUUGAGAAGCAAAAAACACACUUUGAGAUUUAAGAGAAGUAAUUCAAGGGAGGAAAACAACAAACAAUUCAACGUUUGGAGUAUUAAUUGGAAGAUGAAGAAGAUCUUGAUGCAAGAUUGAUAUUUUUUUUUCUACAUCUUUACUACAAAUUCGAUAAUGCACUCAAUGACUAUUUAUUAUUUUUUCUCUUUCAUUAUGAGUAGUUAAAUAUCUUGUUAGGGCGAAUAAUGUAAUCCAAUUGGG